AGAACGAACGCUGGCGGCAGGCUUAACACAUGCAAGUCGAACGCUCGUAGCGAUACGAGAGUGGCAGACGGGUGAGUAACACGUGGGAACGUUCCCCUCGGUUCGGAAUAACUCAGGGAAACUUGAGCUAAUACCGGAUACGUCCGCGAGGAGAAAGAUUCAUCGCCGAGGGAUCGGCCCGCGUCUGAUUAGCUAGUUGGUGAGGUAACGGCUCACCAAGGCGACGAUCAGUAGCUGGUCUGAGAGGAUGACCAGCCACACUGGGACUGAGACACGGCCCAGACUCCUACGGGAGGCAGCAGUGGGGAAUCUUGGACAAUGGGCGCAAGCCUGAUCCAGCCAUGCCGCGUGAGUGAUGAAGGCCCUAGGGUUGUAAAGCUCUUUCGGCGGGGACGAUAAUGACGGUACCCGCAGAAGAAGCCCCGGCUAACUUCGCGCCAGCCAGGCCGC
rnacentral:rRNA from 1 species